rnacentral:rRNA from 2 species
UUGAACGCUGGCGGCAUGCCUUACACAUGCAAGUCGAACGGCAGCACGGGAGCAAUCCUGGUGGCGAGUGGCGAACGGGUGAGUAAUACAUCGGAACGUGUCCUGUAGUGGGGGAUAGCCCGGCGAAAGCCGGAUUAAUACCGCAUACGCUCUACGGAGGAAAGGGGGGGAUCUYAGGACCUCCCGCUACAGGGGCGGCCGAUGGCAGAUUAGCUAGUUGGUGGGGUAAAGGCCUACCAAGGCGACGAUCUGUAGCUG